AGAGUUUGAUCCUGGCUCAGAUUGAACGCUGGCGGCAUGCCUUACACAUGCAAGUCGAACGGUAACAGGUCUUCGGAUGCUGACGAGUGGCGAACGGGUGAGUAAUACAUCGGAACGUGCCCGAUCGUGGGGGAUAACGCAGCGAAAGCUGUGCUAAUACCGCAUACGAUCUACGGAUGAAAGCGGGGGAUCGCAAGACCUCGCGCGGACGGAGCGGCCGAUGGCAGAUUAGGUAGUUGGUGGGAUAAAAGCUUACCAAGCCGACGAUCUGUAGCUGGUCUGAGAGGACGACCAGCCACACUGGGACUGAGACACGGCCCAGACUCCUACGGGAGGCAGCAGUGGGGAAUUUUGGACAAUGGGCGCAAGCCUGAUCCAGCCAUGCCGCGUGCAGGAUGAAGGCCUUCGGGUUGUAAACUGCUUUUGUACGGAACGAAAAAGCUCUCUCUAAUACAGGGGGUGAAUGACGGUACCGUAAGAAUAAGCACCGGCUAACUACGUGCCAGCAGCCGCGGUAAUACGUAGGGUGCAAGCGUUAAUCGGAAUUACUGGGCGUAAAGCGUGCGCAGGCGGUUAUGUAAGACAGAGGUGAAAUCCCCGGGCUCAACCUGGGAACUGCCUUUGUGACUGCAUAGCUGGAGUGCGGCAGAGGGGGAUGGAAUUCCGCGUGUAGCAGUGAAAUGCGUAGAUAUGCGGAGGAACACCGAUGGCGAAGGCAAUCCCCUGGGCCUGCACUGACGCUCAUGCACGAAAGCGUGGGGAGCAAACAGGAUUAGAUACCCUGGUAGUCCACGCCCUAAACGAUGUCAACUGGUUGUUGGGUCUUCACUGACUCAGUAACGAAGCUAACGCGUGAAGUUGACCGCCUGGGGAGUACGGCCGCAAGGUUAAAACUCAAAGGAAUUGACGGGGACCCGCACAAGCGGUGGAUGAUGUGGUUUAAUUCGAUGCAACGCGAAAAACCUUACCCACCUUUGACAUGUACGGAAUCCUUUAGAGAUAGAGGAGUGCUCGAAAGAGAGCCGUAACACAGGUGCUGCAUGGCUGUCGUCAGCUCGUAUCGUGAGAUGUUGGGUUAAGUCCCGCAACGAGCGCAACCCUUGCCAUUAGUUGCUACGAAAGGGCACUCUAAUGGGACUGCCGGUGACAAACCGGAGGAAGGUGGGGAUGACGUCAAGUCCUCAUGGCCCUUAUAGGUGGGGCUACACACGUCAUACAAUGGCUGGUACAAAGGGUUGCCAACCCGCGAGGGGGAGCCAAUCCCACAAAGCCAGUCGUAGUCCGGAUCGCAGUCUGCAACUCGACUGUGUGAAGUCGGAAUCGCUAGUAAUCGUGGAUCAGAAUGUCACGGUGAAUACGUUCCCGGGUCUUGUACACACCGCCCGUCACACCAUGGGAGCGGGUUCUGCCAGAAGUAGGUAGCCUAACCGUAAGGAGGGCGCUUACCACGGCAGGGUUCGUGACUGGGGUGAAGUCGUAACAAGGUA
rnacentral:rRNA from 1 species